rnacentral:rRNA from 1 species
AGAGUUUGAUUCUGGCUCAGGAUGAACGCUAGCGACAGGCUUAACACAUGCAAGUCGAGGGGCAGCAUAGAAGUAGCAAUACUUGGUGGCGACCGGCGCACGGGUGAGUAACGCGUAUGCAACCUACCUAUCAGAGGGGAAUAACCCGGCGAAAGUCGGACUAAUACCGCAUAAAACAGGGGCACCGCAUGGUGAUAUUUGUUAAAGAAAUUCGCUGAUAGAUGGGCAUGCGUUCCAUUAGGUAGUUGGUGAGGUAACGGCUCACCAAGCCGACGAUGGAUAGGGAACUGAGAGGUUGGUCCCCCACACUGGUACUGAGACACGGACCAGACUCCUACGGGAGGCAGCAGUGAGGAAUAUUGGUCAAUGGGCGGGAGCCUGAACCAGCCAAGUCGCGUGAAGGAAGAAGGAUCUAUGGUUCGUAAACUUCUUUUGCAGGGGAAUAAAGUGCAGGACGUGUCCUGUUUUGUAUGUACCCUGAGAAUAAGGAUCGGCUAACUCCGUGCCAGCAGCCGC